GAUAAACGCUGGCGGCGUGCUUAACACAUGCAAGUCGAACGGGCAGACAGAGAGCUUGCUCUCUUGAAGUUAGUGGCGAACGGGUGAGUAACGCGUAAUCAACCUGCCCUUCAGAGGGGGAUAACAACGGGAAACCGUUGUUAAUACCGCGUACGACUCAUGAACGGCAUCGUUUAUGAAUGAAAGGUGGCCUCUAUGUAUAACCUAUCGCUGAAGGAGGGGAUUGCGUCUGAUUAGCUAGUUGGAGGGGUAACGGCCCACCAAGGCAAUGAUCAGUAGCCGGUCUGGGAGGAUGAACGGCCACAUUGGGACUGAGACACGGCCAAAACUCCUACGGGAGGCAGCAGUGGGGAAGCUUCCGCAAUGGACGAAAGGCUGACGGAGCAACGCCGCGUGAGUGAUGAAGGUCUUCGGAUUGUAAAGCUCUGUUAAUCGGGACGAAAGAGUUCUGCGUGAAUAAUGCAGAAAAGUGACGGUACCGGAAUAGAAAGCCACGGCUAACUACGUGCCAGCCGCCGCGGUAA
rnacentral:rRNA from 1 species